UUUGUCAUUGGCAAAUGAAUCUGACAUUUCUGGAGAUCUGGCUGCAUUAUUCCUCUGGGAAUACAGGUUUGAAGAUUUCAGAUGCUUACUUAUAGUCUUUCUAUCUCAAACAAUUUCAAUUUUGAUUGAAUUUUAUACUUUUCUCCAUGAAUUUAAAACUUUGUUAGUAAAAUUACACUUCUGCUAGCCUGUGCUGGAUUUGACUAUUUGAUUAUUUAGUUGGCUGGCAGUUGUCGCUAAUUAGAAAUGCUGAAGAGUUUCUUUACUUUCUUUUCAACGUGCAUUUGUUAUGAACGUUUGUUUCUUUGCGGCUUUCUCCUAUUUGGGUUGAACUUUUCGGCGCAGCUCAUUUAAAACUACUAUUUUAACUGCUAAAUAUAUCUUUUGAGGGAUUAGACACCUAUAUUAAUUAUCAAUUCCUGCACCGUUAUUCUUGUUGCUACUUGUUUCAAGUGGAUUUUAUAUGAAUGUUGCUUGCUUUUGGUGUAGACAUAUCCUUUUUCUUUUUCUUUGUUUAAUUUAAUGUUCUUUUCUUUAUUGAUUAUAACUUACCUGCUUAUGGUAUCUUUUUGAUUCAGGUUCCAUGUAUAGUAUUUCAUUUUCCAGUAAUACUUUACCGCAUAAUUGAAGUGGUUCCCAUACCAAAUG
rnacentral:misc_RNA from 1 species